AUAUCAAACACAACUAUAUCAAGACCAGAGCCAGUUAGUAAGCUGCCUCUGGCUGAGGAGGCUGCUGGAUUGAGUGGGAAACCCUUAUUCAAGUUGUCAACAGAUAUUCUCAAGGAGAUGUACAUUUUAACACAAGGAAAGGUUCCUAUCAUCGGCUGUGGAGGUAUUAGCAGUGGUGAAGAUGCAUACAAGAAAAUAAGGGCAGGAGCUACACUCGUUCAGCUGUAUACAUCCUUUGCUUAUAAGGGACCUGCUUUGAUCCCACAAAUUAAGGUACAAUAUUAGAAUGUUAUAGUUUGUAAUGAGC